GAUGAACGCUGACAGAAUGCUUAACACAUGCAAGUCAACUUGAACUUCGGUUUGGGUGGCGGACGGGUGAGUAACGCGUAAAGAACUUGCCUCACAGCUAGGGACAACAUUUGGAAACGAAUGCUAAUACCUGAUAUUAUGAUUAUAUGGCAUCGUAUAAUUAUGAAAGCUAUAUGCGCUGUGAGAGAGCUUUGCGUCCCAUUAGCUAGUUGGAGAGGUAACAGCUCACCAAGGCGAUGAUGGGUAGCCGGCCUGAGAGGGUGAUCGGCCACAAGGGGACUGAGACACGGCCCUUACUCCUACGGGAGGCAGCAGUGGGAAAUAUUGGACAAUGGACCGAGAGUCUGAUCCAGCAAUUCUGUGUGCACGAUGAAGUUUUUCGGAAUGUAAAGUGCUUUCAGUUGGGAAGAAAAAAAUGACGGUACCAACAGAAGAAGUGACGGCUAAAUACGUG
rnacentral:rRNA from 1 species